AGUUGCUCAUGAGAGGACCGUUAACCGUCUGUUAACCUUCGCGCGGCAAUCUGACGGCAAUACUCGCUUGCUCCUUGACCACGGAUGAACUGGCACCGAGCCGAGCGGAUGACGAAAGGCCGGGCGACCGGCCUUUUGUUUU
rnacentral:sRNA from 1 species